rnacentral:misc_RNA from 1 species
UGCGGCCGACUCCCCGCGCCGUGUCCCCUCAUUMGUGCAGACACACCGUGUGCCCRCGCCGUUGCCUARUAGUGCUUGCGUGCCGCUACCCGUCUCACGGGAAGUCGUGCUCCGCACACGUCGCCCUCGUCGCGCACGCCCUCCGGGCGUGACGCGUCGGCCMGAAARCGCACGMGGCGWUGCCUCGUGAURCCGGCCUUMCUGGCCGUCCUCGCCAAGGCCACCUCGCGCGCGCUYUUGGUCACGGAUGCSGCCCACGCUACAGGCCGUGGCACCCCGGUGCCCCGCGCCUCUCAAAGGAAAGUCCCUUCGGAAACACGACGGCUGGCUCGGACCGCGUGCCUAGGCGACAGCCGACGUCACGGUGCGGCGCCAGCCCGUCGAACGAGGACGUGCU